rnacentral:rRNA from 1 species
ACUCAAAGGAAUAGACGGGGGCCCGCACAAGCGGUGGAGCAUGUGGUUUAAUUCGAAGCAACGCGAAGAACCUUACCAAGGCUUGACAUGGGGAUGUGUUAGGCAGAAAUGUCUAAGGCCCUUUUUGGGAUCAUCCCUCACAGGUGGUGCAUGGUUGUCGUCAGCUCGUGUCGUGAGAUGUUGGGUUAAGUCCCGCAACGAGCGCAACCCUUGCCUUCAGUAGCCAGCAUUUUAGGAUGGGGACUCUGGAGGGACUGCCGCGGACAACGCGGGGGAAGGCGGGGACGACGUCAAAUCAUCAUGCCCCUUAUGCCUUGGGCUACACACGUGCUACAAUGGCUGCAACAAAGUGAGGCAAAGCCGCGAGGCGGAGCGAAGCACAAAAAAGCAGCCCCAGUUCGGAUUGCAGCCUGCAACCCGGCUGCAUGAAGCAGGAAUCGCUAGUAACCGCAAAUCACCAUGUUGCGGUGAAUACGUUCCCGGGCCUUGUACACACCGCCCGU